GUUGUACGAGUGGCGGUGGGGUGUGGUGAGUGAGUGUUUGCGACGGGGGGCAACCACACACACUCACAUACUCACAUACACCCCUCCGUUUUCAUACACUCAC
ensembl:snoRNA ZK20.9 ncRNA